rnacentral:lncRNA from 1 species
UUUAUGUAACGCAAUUUCUGAUAUAUUUAUAUAUUUAUUUUAUAUUUGGUAACAGAAGGUAUUAUAAUAGAAUGUUAACGCUUUAAAAAAGCCAUGGCAUAAACAGAAUAUUAUGGUACGCGGAAAAUUUAUUAUAUCUCUAUCGUAGUAUUAAAUAUAUAAUUGUCAAUUUCGAUUACCAGAAUUUUAUUAGUUGAUCCAAGUCUUCUUAUAUGACUCAA